ACGAAAUGGAAAUCAAAAAGUGCUGGGAGUGUUCGCUAGGAAACUGAUCCAGCAGCGUACCCAAUUGGACCUUUCGUUGCCCCGCGUGUGCCCUACAAGAUCGAGCCAGACCCGUUUAGAUUACUCUACAAGGUAAUGUACCAUCAAUUCUCUUUUUUCAAUGUUCUUAGGCAUUGUCUGUUGAGCGACAAAAAGACGUUAAACUCUGUGUCAAAGUUUAUAGGUUAAUGCUCUUCUUACUCUCAGCAGAUGAUAUCUUCUUAGCAUGCGGACGUUCAUGGUUUUACAGGAUCGGUGACUGCUGAGAAACAAUGAGCACAUGUUUUUGUUGAGUACCUAACCAUGGAACUUUAUAGCAGGGCCCGAUGCUAGCAGGUCCGUGGGUC